rnacentral:snRNA from 1 species
AUCACUUCUCGGUCUUUUGGCUAAGAUCAAGUGUAGUAUCUGUUCUUAUCAGUUUAAUAUCUGAUAUGUCCUCUAUCCGAGGACAAUAUAUUAAAUGGAUUUUUGGAGCUGGGAGAUGGAAUAGGAGCUUGCUCCGUCCACUCCACACAUCAACCUGGUAUUGCUGUAUCUUCACUUCCUAGUGGGAACAUA